GACACAAUCAUCUUCCCCCAUGCAAAAUCUGGUAAAAUAAAGUAUGUACGUUUCGAAGUGUGCAUGUUUGCCCACUUUCUCUUCCAAUUUCUCCAGGAAACUCAAGUCUGUAGCAGGACCAGGCCGAAUGCAUUCUUCAUCCUUCAAAAGAAAAAGAGAAGCCUCAAUCCACAGCACCACACUCCAUCAAUGCCAAGUUUAAAUGCUUUCACCAGCUGGAACAGAAAGUACUGGACUAAAAGACUGUCAAUUCAUGUAAGUGCAGGUGAACAUUCUGGGGGGAAGAAGGGCUUAAUCCAUGUGUUUGGCUUCUAAGAUUUGAUAAGGGGACCAUGGAACCAGAGGGCCUGAAUAUCCCAUGAAAAGGCAACACUCUGACCAUCUGACUCAAAGUCUUCCCAAGGAUACUCCACACAGCUACUAUGACCAACCUCGUUUUCUCUAAACCAGUCAUCACUGACCAUGAUUACCAUGUGUACAGACUCUUGUUGUAGAAGAAAAGCCCUCAUGGAAAGAAAGGUGUCCUCAGCCUCCCAAGCCCAUGUACAAUCAAAAAAAAAAAAAAAAAAAAAAAAAAAAGAAGAAGAAGAAGAAGAAGAAAAAGAAGAAGGAGAAGAAGAAGGAGAAGGAGAUGGAGAAAAGGACCUAUAGACAGACAAGAAGAUGCCUAUCCAAGUAAGAGGACCAAGUACCCUCAGGCCAGGGUGGGUAUUUAAAGAUGAUGUAUUUAUUUCAGGCCAGGCGUGGUGGCUCACGCCUGCAAUCCCAGCACUUUGGGAGGCUGAGGCAGGCGGAUCACUUGUGGCCAGGAGUUUGAGACCAGCCUGGCCAACAUGGCGAAACCCCAUUUCUACUAAAAAAUUACAAAAAUUAGCCAGGCAUGGUGGCAUGCACCUGUAAUCCCACUACUUGGGAGUUUGAGGCACAAGAAUCGCUUGAACCCCAGAGGUGGAGGCUGCAGUGAGCCAAGAUUGUGCCACUGCACUUCAGCCUGAACGACAAAGUGGGACUCCGUCUCAAAAAAAAAUAAAAAAGAGAUAAUGUAUUUAUUUAGUUUUAAAGGGACACAAUUAAAUACUCUGUAUGAGUGUCCUAAGUCACUGCCUCCAAAAUCAUCUUUUGUGUCCUACCUCCAUGAAUUUUGUCACAUCCACAUAUCCCCUCCCCAUCCAUGUAUCAUUUCUUAAUUUUUAGCUUGGAUUAAAUCCCUUUUUUAUUUAAAUAAUUCCACUUGAAAAGGAAACGUGACUGAAGCGUGAGUUUCAAGGGCUAUAUUUUUUCGUAAAUAUGUUAAAAUAU
rnacentral:lncRNA from 1 species